rnacentral:rRNA from 1 species
GACGAACGCUGGCGGCGUGCCUAACACAUGCAAGUCGAACGGAGUUACUCCUUCGGGGGUAACUUAGUGGCGAACGGGUGAGUAACGCGUGAGAAACCUGCCUUUCAGUGGGGGACAACAGUUGGAAACGACUGCUAAUACCGCAUAACCCGCUAGGGUCGCAUGACCCGGACGGAAAAGAUUUAUCGGUACGAGAUGGACCCGCGUCUGAUUAGCUAGUUGGUGAGGUAACGGCCCACCAAGGCGACGAUCAGUAGCCGGCCUGAGAGGGUGAACGGCCACAUUGGGACUGAGACACGGCCCAAACUCCUACGGGAGGCAGCAGUGGGGAAUAUUGCACAAUGGGGGAAACCCUGAUGCAGCAACGCCGCGUGAGUGAAGAAG